rnacentral:rRNA from 1 species
UACGUAGGUGGCAAGCGUUGUCCGGAUUUCCUGGGCGUAAAGAGCGCGCAGGCGGCCGUUCAAGUCGCGUGUGAAAGCCCCCGGCUCAACUGGGGAGGGUCACGCGAUACUGAUCGACUCGAAGGCAGGAGAGGGAAGCGGAAUUCCCGGUGUAGUGGUGAAAUGCGUAGAUAUCGGGAGGAACACCAGUGGCGAAGGCGGCUUCCUGGCCUGUUCUUGACGCUGAGGCGCGAAAGCUAGGGGAGCAAACGGG